GCCGGAGCCGGCGCGGUCCCGGCCUCGCGGGAGCCGCUUUCGGGGUCCGGGCGCGGUCCUAGCGAGCGCGUGCGGGGCGAGUCUGGAUCCCGGACCCGACCCCGCCGUGACCGGCGCAGAAACAGAGGGCGCAGCUGAAAUGAGCUUCACGAAUUUGUCGUUGAGCGCGAUGCUGGCGUUAGCAUCAAAGAUAGACGAGUGGGUAUCGCUAAUAAAGUCCGUGGACACGACCUGGGCAUCAGAAUUUCAAAGAUAAGCGUGGGUCGCAGAGCAAGGACCUCCAGGAGCUCAGGCUCUUGGGCACACUGUCCAUCCGUUCGUCUACAGUAUUUGCCAGAGUCCCACUCUCUCCAGGUUCUGGGGACAGGGUGUGAGGAAGACAUCCCCAGGGGUUUUGCAGGUAGGGGACUGGCCAAAGGAUACAGACUGCAAACAGCCUCUGAUGCUGCACCAACAGACAUCUCUUCCUGGGAAUAUUGCGCGUGGAAUGCAAGAGGCCCUCCCUGAGGGGAGGCAGUGAGUCUGGAUCUGGUCAACUCCAGCCCUCAGCAGGGUCUCAGGUGGAAGGAACUACAGCACAAAGGCCCUGGGGGGUUGGCCCUAGCAUGGUGGAGGGCCACAGGAAGGUUUUCAGCUCUGGGGGUGAUGUGAUCUGAUUUCUUUAAGAGUUCCUGGCAGCUGUGUGAGAGUGGACCUUCAGGAGCUAAAACAGACAGCACCAAGGUGGACAGACAGAGCUGGCACUACUGGGAGCAAAGGGACGUGAUAUUCAUUCCUCACAGGGAAGGCAUCUGGCUGUGGCCUGCCUCAAGCAAGUGUUGAAAAAUGGGAGCCCUUGUCUUGUUCACUAAGCACGUAUUCAGCACCUGCUGUAUGCCAGGCCCUGGGAAGACAGCUGGAGCUACAGAAGUGAAAAACAAGUCCCAAAGUCCCUGCUGUCUUGGAGUGUACGUGCUAGCAGGGCCAACAGGGACUAUGAAGUGACAUAUCAGCUUCUGCAACAGGGAUCCUGGUGCCAGAGGCCAGGCAAGGCCCUGAAAACACACAUCACAUCCAGAGAGCAACUCCCAGGAGACUGAAGCCUUGCGGCAGCCCUGGGGCCAGCAGUAGCUAGUGGUUUAUGUUGGAAAGAAGAGCCAGGACAGAGGUGAAAAGAGUAGAGGCAGAGCUGCCUGGGAGCACAGGCGGGCUGGCCCUAGAGAUGAAUGAACGAGCAGCUUCCUCUCUUCUCCCUGGGCCACCACACAUGGUUCUUCUUGCUCCCUGGUCAUCUGUCAGGUCACACUUUUCAUCAUCUGACCCAAGAAGUUCUUUUCUGAUGCCCCCCAUUCCCUGCCUUCCAAGUUGGGGGAAGGGCACUUCAACAAAUUCCUUUGUGGCAGCUGUGGAGCUGGCAUGGGGCAGAGUCGGUGCCCCUGGAGACCCCAGCCCCUUCCCCUAGGCUGUCAUAGGCUCUGCCCUCCUGCCCAGGGGCCUGUUUCGAGGAUUCUGUUCAUUCUUCAAGGAGGUACUGAGUCUACCCAGGCCCAGGGCCUGCGCCUGCGGGUGCCAGAGCAACAGUGGUGCCCAGGGCCCUCCUUGCAAGGAGGCUGCGUGAGCCCUUCCUGGUGCUCCCCACGCCCCUCCGGCCGUGCUCCCUGCUGCGCUGUGGUGGGUAUGAUCAGCAUCCCUAUCAGAUGCAUGAGGAAACCGAGGCUCGGGGAAGUUCACUGCCUUGCCCAGGGUCACCCAGCUGGAAAGGGUGGAGCGGGCUAAAGUACACACUCAAGCAAACAGCUAGUGCUGACGGCCCGGAGGACGUCUGCAGUGGUGCGAUGGAGAGCAGCGGGGAAGGGGGAAGAGGCGCUGCAGUCAUCGGGGAAGUCGGCACCUGAGGGGGGCACACACUGAGGGGGCGGCUGUGCGGGGACGGGGCAGCCCUGGGAGAAUGCCCCAAGCGGCGGGAAGGACAGUGCCCAGGCUGAGGAAGGGACGGACACAGUAUGUCUCAGUAAUGACUGCCCUGCUGGAAUUUGGAAUUGUUUUUGCUGUCAUGAUUUCAAAUUUGGGUCAAGCAGCUUCUAUUCUCACUGACCCUUAAGUCCCUGCUUCUACCCAUCCCUGGCCACCUGACUACAAAUAAACAGUGGGGCUGAGAGCAGACCUGCCGGGAGGAGUGCUGGGAAGGCUGCAGAUCUCGCCUGGGGUUGGAGGGAGCUCACAAGCAUGCGUGUGCAAGUGUGUAAAAUCGGAGGCAGCUACAGGCCCAGCAGUGGCUAAUAACUUACAUUAGAAAGGUGAAGGAGGUUUACUGUUUCCCAUUAUAGAAUUUUUUUGGUGUUUUGAAAAUGUUUGUAUUUGAAGCAUUUUAAACACCCAGUGUUAUUGCUUUUGACUUACAGAUUCUAAACAAAUCUUGAAAUGAAGGAGGCAUAUUUGUAUCAGUGAGAACUAGGUGAAGUGGGUUCUAAGAAAAGGUGCUGGUGCAGGGUCCCGAGAGGCUGAUGGCCAGUGUGGCUGAAGUGACGUGGAAAGGCUGGGGAGUGGGGCAUAUAGUUGGUGGGGGGCCCCGUCAGCAGCUGGGAUUUUAUUUGUGGGGUGAUGGGAAGCCAUCGGAGGAUCUACGUGGGGGCGUAACCAGGCCCCGUUGAUGUUUUAAAACGGCCUCUGUGGCUGCUGUGUAGGAACUGAAUAGAAGAAGUUGGCCAGGUGGUGAUGCCAUUUCCUGGGCAGGCAGAUGAACAGAUCUGAGGCUUAAAGAAUAAUCAGGAGUUGAGUUUUAGACAGCUUGAGUUCAUAUGCCUGAGAGAAAAUGCACACAUGUUAAAUAAAAAGUAUUUUGAGUGCAGUGGGGCAUCUUUCUAGAUUAGUGCUUCUUAACCAUUCUAGGGGUCAGGGACUUCUCUGAGACCCCCUUUCCAUACCAGUACCCAGAGGCAUGUGCACACACAAUUUGGGGGUUUAUGAACCCCACAUGAGAGGCUGGAAUCCCCUUCUAGUCACCUCUGCGUCCCCUGCAUUCGUCUGUUGCAGGCUUGCACAGACGGCCGCCCUUACCACUGGAAGAUGCUGAUCUCGUUGUUAUCGACGACCAGCUGUCCAUUCCUGUAUUCCACGCUCCCCUUGUAUCGGCCAUGGGUGGAGUCAUACUUAAACAUGUACACCUGCAGGAGACAGAAUGGCUCCUAGUCUUGGGGUGGACGGGGAGCGAGCAUCCCUAGGGAGUCCCCACCGCGGUGAAGGUUCCAUCACAUUGCAGCUGGGAGCUUCCACAGGGCUCCCCUGAACCCCUUCCCCACCCUGGUCCCACUCUCCCCUAUCUCGCCCUUUUGUCUGCUGCUCACCAUGUAUUCUGGGUCAAUGAACGGAUCAUUCACUGCUACCACCUUAACGCCCUUCUCCAUGCAGGCACGCAGCACCAGGCGACCAAUGCGUCCAAAGCUGUCCAGGAAUGAAGGUUGAGGGGGUGGUCCUCAGAAUCCUCAGCCAGCAGGCAGAGGAGGGGACGGGAGGGAAGCAGGGAACAGAGAAGAGGCCGGCUCAAGGGGACUGGGUGGGAUUUCUCAAUCUGGGGAAGAAGGCAGCCAUCCCUGUGCGGGCCAGUGUCAUCUUGCCCAGAUGACCUCGCCAGCCUCUUCACUACUUUCUGUGCCUCCUCUGCCCAUCUGUCCUCUACCCCUAUUCCUAACCUUGUAGCUGGAUGGAUCUUGUAGAACUUCACGUCAGAUUAUAUCUCUUGACCUGAAAACCUCCACCACUCUCUCAGUAAAACCAGAUCCAAACUCCUUCCCAUGGUCCCCUAGGCCGCUGCCAGCUUUCCGCCGCCCUCCCUCUAAUCCCCUGCUUGUGUCACAGCAGCCGCGCUGAAUUCCUGCCCAUCCUUAUUACACUGAGCUGCCACUGCUUGCUGCACAGUUAUCACUCAGGCCUCACUCCAGUGUCACCUCCCAGAGGCCUUCCCUGAGUCCCCUGGCUAACACUGCCCUCUUCAGUCUUACUGUACCCCUGAGUUCCACACUGUUCAUCACUGAGCUGCCGUGUUCCUUAUUUGUUGACUUCCUGCCAGAAUGUGAGCUCUCUGAACCAUUCUAGGGGUCAGGGACUUGUUUACCGGAGCCCUGUUUACCUGAUCCCCAUGUUUCUCCAGGAUGGGCGAGUGAAAGCCUUGCUGAGACAUGAGGAAAUGCCCCAGUUAGUCAUGGAGGAGAGGCUGGGCCCUGAAGCUUCAGGAAUGGCUCAGGGGCCAGAGGCGACUCACCCAUUGAUGCCGACAGUCAGCUCCCGAAGCUUCUUAGGUGGAGGAGGUGG